rnacentral:rRNA from 1 species
CUAGCCGUAAACGAUGGAUACUAGGCGUUGUGAGUAUCGACCCUCACAGUGUCGUAGCUAACGCGUUAAGUGUCCCGCCUGGGGAGUACGCGCGCAAGCGUGAAACUCAAAGGAAUUGACGGGGGCCCGCACAAGCGGUGGAGUAUGUGGUUUAACUCGAUGCAACGCGAAGAACCUUACCAGGACUUGACAUGUCGCGAAUCUCAGGGAAACUUGAGAGUGCCUUCGGGAGCGCGAACACAGGUGGUGC